UACGUAGGGUGCAAGCGUUGUCCGGAUUUAUUGGGUUUAAAGGGUGCGUAGGCGGCUAAUUAAGUCAGUGCUGAAAUAUCACAGCUUAACUGUGAGGGUGGCAUUGAUACUGGUUAGCUUGAGUACAGACGAGGUAGGCGGAAUUGACAGUGUAGCGGUGAAAUGCAUAGAUAUUGUCAAGAACACCGAUAGUGUAGACAGCUUACUAGGCUGCAACUGACGCUGAGGCACGAAAGUGUGGGGAUCAAACAGG
rnacentral:rRNA from 1 species